UAAUUUAGUUAGAUUUGGUCCGCUGGAGUUAUAGGAACAAGAUAUUUAGUUUUUGAUGAAGGAUACCUCGGAAUUCGAAGUGAUGGUACUGAUGACAUCUAUUUGAAUGUGCUCUACUCGACUUCAGGCAGACGUAUCAAUACUAAAGCAUAUGGUAGGACUACUACUGAUCCAGUGUUAAUAAACAGGGCAGUGGAUCAGAUUAAUGAAGGAUUUCCUAAUACUUUCUGCAGUACAUCUCCUCCAACACAAAUAAUAAUAGCAACUUGGAUAGAUUUUCAGAAGUUUGACUCAAACCAAGGCAGUAACUUCCAAUUAAUAAUUGUCACUAAUGGAAACACUACAUUUGGUAUUGCACUUUAUGUUAAUGUAGCCAUUGCAACAGCCAGUGCUGGAAUAGGUUUCCAAAUUAAUAAUGUUUAUGAAUCAGCUGAUCCUUCUUUCUUUCCAUUUGGUGCUACUGUUAUGGAUGCCCCUAGUAUGAUGCUUAAUAGCAACAUACCAGGAACAUAUAUAUUUCCACUAUAUGAUAUACCACCAGAUCCUUGCAGUUCUGUCUGCUAUUCUUGUAAGCCCAGACUUGUUCAGUUGGCAUGUGAGACUAUGAGGAUUAACGGAGAAGAUGUACCAGCUUCUUGUAACAACUAAUCUUAUAUCAUUCCAUUUUAUUGUGUUUUUGUUUUAGUUUUAUGUGAUUAAAUUAUUUCUCAGUAGUGAA